UACGAAGGGUGCAAGCGUUACUCGGAAUUACUGGGCGUAAAGCGUGCGUAGGUGGUUUGUUAAGUCUGUUGUGAAAGCCCCGGGCUCAACCUGGGAAUGGCAAUGGAUACUGGCAAGCUAGAGUGCGGUAGAGGGUAGUGGAAUUCCCGGUGUAGCGGUGAAAUGCGCAGAUAUCAGGAGGAACACCGGUGGCGAAGGCGGAUCUCUGGGCCUUGCCUGACGCUGAGGCGCGAAAGCUAGGGGAGCGAACAGG
rnacentral:rRNA from 1 species